AAAAAAAUAAAUAAAAAUAAAAAUCAGCCAUUAGAUGUCAUAGGGCCAGUGUAGGAUCAUGAGACUAUUUAGAACUUUCAUCUGAUUGUUGGCACUGCACUGGAAGGUGCAGCCGUAAAAAUCAAAAUGCAUAUGUAAACAACUCCAAGUCGUUAGCCAUAUUGUUUGAAAAAGUAAUGUUUACUGACUUGCAUUUGUUUUGCUGUAGCUUAUCUUGGAUUCUGAAAAAAUCUUAACAGAUUCUUGAAUAUUACACCCUUAUAUGAGUGAAGGGAACAGUUACAGCAGUAAUGACUUGCAGGUGUGGAUUGACUUGCCCUCCAGUGAGACUCCUUGGUUUCUGCUUCCUAACACGUCGUCUUCCAGAGGAGUGUUGACACAGGACUCUGGUUUGCCAUUCAUCCAAUGCAGAUCCCAACAUUAUUCUGUAGACUUAUGAUUUGAGUUCAAAAGUGUGGCUUGUUGCAUUGCUAGGGUCUGUAGUACACUCUUCUCUCCAUGCUUACCCAAAUAACUCAGGUCAAAACUUAACUUCCUUCUGCUUGGAUCUUAGGAACCUGAUACUCAUCAGAAAGACCACAGAGAAGACUGAAAGGAGGUCAUUCCUCUCAUCUCCUCAGCCUGCUGGUGCAGAUUUCCAACGUGCCCACAUUAUGGGAGUUUCUGUUUGUAUCCCACAGUAUGUUUGGCCUGAAGACCAUUGUGGAAAUAUGAGAUGACUUUUUAGACCUUUCUUCUAGCCUGAAGAAAGACGUUCUACUUAGGAUUAUCUUGCAAUCCAAUAAAUAAUAGCAGCUGGUCAGAAACCUGGUCUGUGAACACUGUUGGGAACACUGUUGUGUUUGUUUAAUUAUUUGUAAUAAUUUUAUUUUUGCAGGGAUAUGCUAAGUCUUUUCAAGUGCAAAAGGGAAAGAUGAAAAAAAGAAAAAAAAAAAAGAAAGUUUUGAUUUGAAAGGCCAAGUACAGAUCUUUGUGCUGACUUUCAUAUACUCUAGGACCUGCCCUUCUCUUUUUAUGCAUGAUCACAUACGCUCCAAACAUCUAAGAAGCUUCUGUUGGUGUUGGGGGUUAAAAUUCCUAGGAUUAGAAGCAGAGGUUUUGGAGUCAAGGGCCCCCACCUCUGGAAUUAGUUUUCCUUGGUUUCCUGCCAGUGUCCAUCCAGUAAGCUUCAGAACACAUGGGGAAAUGUUUAUAUUUGGGUUAGCUUCUCUCUAUUUUUAGAUGGUUUGGUUUUGCUUUGAAUUUUACUCUACAGAUGUGAAGAUGGUAGAUUGGCUAUUGUUAUUUUCUAAGAGAAUGAUUUAGCACUACCCAUUACGAGAAGGCUCCCGUGUCCUUUAUCAGUAAUCUUGUAAGAACAUGCUGCAGCCUGUGAAUGAAUAUUUGCAUUCUUACUUCCACAUCAUCAUUUUCCAACAUGUGCUACCGGGAUUACGUUGAGCCGAGCUGGAAAAGCUCCCAAGCCCAGAAUGUUGUACCCUGUGCGUGUUGUUGGCCCUGUUGUUUGGAGGGAACAGGACUGCAUGGACUGACAGGGGUUGGGUGAUUUGCUACCUACAUGUGCUCCUGCUUCGCACUGCAAGCAUCAUCUUUGUCAUACAGCAGGAUGUUUAAAUCUUUGUACCCCAAAAUGUGGACGAUCUUUAAAUGAUUAUAAAUAAAUGAUUGUAAGUAGUAUUUGGUUAUAAA
ensembl:lncRNA